UUACGGUGUUCAAGCCACAUUGAGCAAAAC
rnacentral:sRNA from 1 species